rnacentral:rRNA from 2 species
GCAUAUCAAUAAGCGGAGGAAAAGAAACCAACAGGGAUUGCCCCAGUAACGGCGAGUGAAGCGGCAACAGCUCAAAUUUGAAAUCUGGCCCCCAGGGUCCGAGUUGUAAUUUGUAGAGGAUGCUUUUGGCGCGGCGCCUUCCGAGUUCCCUGGAACGGGACGCCAUAGAGGGUGAGAGCCCCGUCUGGUUGGAUGCCUAGCCUCUGUAAAGCUCCUUCGACGAGUCGAGUAGUUUGGGAAUGCUGCUCUAAAUGGGAGGUAUAUGUCUUCUAAAGCUAAAUACCGGCCAGAGACCGAUAGCGCACAAGUAGAGUGAUCGAAAGAUGAAAAGCACUUUGAAAAGAGGGUUAAAUAGUACGUGAAAUUGUUGAAAGGGAAGCACUUGUGACCAGACUUGGGCCCGGUGAAUCAUCCAGCGUUCUCGCUGGUGCACUUCGCCGGCCCAGGCCAGCAUCAGUUCGCCUCGGGGGAUAAAGGCUUCGGGAACGUGGCUCCCUCGGGAGUGUUAUAGCCCGUUGCGCAAUACCCUGGGGCGGACUGAGGUUCGCGCUCCGCAAGGAUGCUGGCGUAAUGGUCAUCAGUGACCCGUCUUGAAACACGGACCAAGGAGUCGUCUUCGUAUGCGAGUGUUCGGGUGUCAAACCCCUACGCGUAAUGAAAGUGAACGUAGGUGAGAGCUUCGGCGCAUCAUCGACCGAUCCUGAUGUUCUCGGAUGGAUUUGAGUAAGAGCAUACGGGGCCGGACCCGAAAGAAGGUGAACUAUGCCUGUAUAGGGUGAAGCCAGAGGAAACUCUGGUGGAGGCUCGCAGCGGUUCUGACGUGCAAAUCGAUCGUCAAAUAUGGGCAUGGGGGGCGAAAGACUAAUCGAACCUUCUAGUAGCUGGGUUUCCGCCGA